rnacentral:rRNA from 1 species
CGGUAAGGCCCUUCGGGGUAACGAGCGGCGAACGGGUGAGUAACACGUGGGUGGUCUGCCUUGCACUUCGGGAUAAGCCUGGGAAGCUGGGUCUAAUACCGGAUAUGACCUCGGAAUGCAUGUUCUGGGGUGGAAAGAUUUAUCGGUGCGAGAUGGGCCCGCGGCCUCUCAGCUUGUUGGUGAGGUAACGGCUCACCAAGGCGACGACGGGUAGCCGACCUGAGAGGGUGACCGGCCACACUGGGACUGAGACACGGCCCAGACUCCUACGGGAGGCAGCAGUGGGGAAUAUUGCACAAUGGGCGCAAGCCUGAUGCAGCGACGCCGCGUGCGGGAUGACGGCCUUCGGGCUGUAAACCGCUUUUGACAGGGACGAAGCGCAAGUGACUGUACCUGUAGAAUAAGGACCGGCCAACUACGUGCCAGCAGCCGCGGUAUACGUAGGGUCCGAGCGUUGUCCGGAAUUACUGGGCGUAAAGAGCUUGUAUGCGGUUCGUCGCGUCGUUUGUGAAAACUUGGGGCUCAACCUUAAGCUUGCAGGCGAUACGGGCGGACUAGAGUACUUCAGGGGAGACUGGAAUUCCUGGUGUAGCGGUGAAAUGCACAGAUAUCAGGAGGAACACCGGUGGCGAAGGCGGGUCUCUGGGAAGUAACUGACGCUGAGAAGCGAAAGCAUGGGUAGCAAACAGGAUUAGAUACCCUGGUAGUCCAUGCCGUACACGGUGGGUACUACGUGUGGAGCUCCUUCCACGGACUCCGUGCCGUAUCUAACGCAUUAAGUACCCCGCCUGGGGAGUACGGACCGCAGGCUAAAACUCAGAUGACUUGACGGUG